rnacentral:rRNA from 1 species
UUAUGGCAAGCGCAACUGCUUCUGAAUUAUCCAUUGGUGCCGGUGCGGCUUAUAAUCCCCCACCCUAUACAUUUUGGAAAGGCAAGGUAAAUGGCUGUAUACACCUCUGAGACUAAACAAUUUUUAGACAGUGUUUCACACGAUAAAACUUGGUGGACAUCACGAUAUAACCCUGCUGACGAUGUACCUGUAUCAGGUAUCUAUCGUUGUACUGUUUGCGGAAAAGAGAUAUGUACUUGGUGUUACUGCGAAGGGGGGACGGAGAAGGCUAUGUUGGCCGGGCGACGGUUGUCCCGGUUUAAGCGUGUAGGCUGGUUUUCCAGGCAAAUCCGGAAAACUAAGGCUGAGGCGUGAUGACGAGGCACUACGGUGCUGAAGCAACAAAUGCCCUGCUUCCAGGAAAAGCCUCUAAGCAUCAGGUAACAUCAAAUCGUACCCCAAACCGACACAGGUGGUCAGGUAGAGAAUACCAAGGCGCUUGAGAGAACUCGGGUGAAGGAACUAGGCAAAAUGGUGCCGUAACUUCGGGAGAAGGCACGCUGAUAUGUAGGUGAAGUCCCUCGCGGAUGGAGCUGAAAUCAGUCGAAGAUACCAGCUGGCUGCAACUGUUUAUUAAAAACACAGCACUGUGCAAACACGAAAGUGGACGUAUACGGUGUGACGCCUGCCCGGUGCCGGAAGGUUAAUUGAUGGGGUUAGCGCAAGCGAAGCUCUUGAUCGAAGCCCCGGUAAACGGCGGCCGUAACUAUAACGGUCCUAAGGUAGCGAAAUUCCUUGUCGGGUAAGUUCCGACCUGCACGAAUGGCGUAAUGAUGGCCAGGCUGUCUCCACCCGAGACUCAGUGAAAUUGAACUCGCUGUGAAGAUGCAGUGUACCCGCGGCAAGACGGAAAGACCCCGUGAACCUUUACUAUAGCUUGACACUGAACAUUGAGCCUUGAUGUGUAGGAUAGGUGGGAGGCUUUGAAGURCGGAUUCUUAACGUCGCAAGACGAAAAAUGAAUACCAAGUCUCAAGAGUGAACACGUAAUUCAUUACGAAGUUUAAUUCUUUGAGCAUCAAACUUUUAAAUUGAAGAGUUUGAUCAUGGCUCAGAUUGAACGCUGGCGGCAGGCCUAACACAUGCAAGUCGAACGGUAACAGGAAACAGCUUGCUGUUUCGCUGACGAGUGGCGGACGGGGAACUUUGUUGUUUUUUUAUCCUUAACCACUAUGCAUUAAUGCUGCGUUAUUUCAUGAUGCCUAAGAAAAACCAGCGUUACGCAAAUGGUCAACGCUGGUUUUAUCCGGUACGUUGCAAUUAUUUUUUAGCCAAGGCCGAGACUCGCGAUGUGGGCGAGAACGACUACCACGGUGGCGAUGGCCCGGUGAGCGUCACCACCUCCAAACCCGGCGUCAAUCCGCUGUUUGAAGCGAUGAUUGAAGCGGGCGUGCAGGCAGGCUACCCGCGCAC